GCCCUAAUAGCGCAAUGGUUAACGUGUCCGCCUCCUACACUUGUGUAGCCAGCGGGAGAUUCCAGGUUCGAUCCUUGGUUAGGGUG